GCAUAUCAAUAAGCGGAGGAAAAGAAAAUAACAAUGAUUCCCCUAGUAACUGCGAGUGAAGAGGGACAAGCUCAAAUUUUAAAUCUAUCGGGUUUUACCUGAUCGAGUUGUAAUUUGAAGAAGCGUUUUCUGCGUAUUUGGUCAGCCUAAGUCCUAUUGAAUGAGGCAUCAUGGAGGGUGAUAAUCCCGUCCGGUUGAUCAUUUGCGUUUUACGAUACGCUUUCUAAGAGUCAAGUUGUUUGGGAUUGCAGCUUAAAAUGGGAGGUAAAUUUCUCCUAAGGCUAAAUAACGGCGAGAGACCGAUAGCGAACAAGUACCGUGAGGGAAAGAUGAAAAGAACUUUGAAAAGAGAGUUAAACAGUACGUGAAAUUGUUGAAAGGGAAACGAUUGAAGCCAGUCGUACCUUCGGGUAAUCAGCCUUUCGGGUGCGAUUCUGUGGAGUGUGAGGAGCUUAAACACCUUCAUGUUUUGCAUAUUCGUACUCUUGGGUGUACUUGCCCGUGUGGUUGGUUAACAUCAAUUUUGGUGGUCAUAAAAUGACUGGGGGAAUGUAGCUUCGAUCUUGUAUUGAAGUGUUAUAGCCUUCGGUAGAUGUGAUGAUCGAGAUUGAGGAUUGCAACGGAUACCCUUCGGGGCUACCUGUCUGGUCUCUGAUCGUUGCUCUGGUGCCGAAAGCUUGCUUACGGUUAUCAAAGUCGAUGGUCAAUAGGUUAGAACGGGUUAAAUUCGUUAAGGAUGUUGACGUAAUGGCUUUAAACGACCCGUCUUGAAACACGGACCAAGGAGUCUAACAUAUAUGCGAGUGUUAGGGUGAUUAAACCCUUACGCGUAAUGAAAGUAAUUUUGGUGGGAACACUUUUGUGCACCAUCGACCGAUCAGGAUAUUUUUUGAUAGAUUUGAGUAAGAGCA
rnacentral:rRNA from 1 species